GGGAAGCAUCCAAAAGUAGUGAUGCUACUGAUACAGUCUUUCUAAAUUAAAUCCUUGUAACUUCCUGCCUGUAGUUCUGGAGCAAAAUAUACAGGUCUCAAAUUACUGGAUAUGAAA